rnacentral:rRNA from 1 species
AAAUAGAUACCCCGGUAGUCCACGCCGUAAACGAUCGAGUGCUAAGUGUUAGAGGGGUUUCCGCCCUUUAGUGGCUGCAGCUAACGCAUUAAGCACUCCGCCUGGGGAGUACGGCCGCAAGGCUGAAACUCAAAGGAAUUGACGGGGGCCCGCACAAGCGGUGGAGCAUGUGGUUUAAUUCGAAGCAACGCGAAGAACCUUACCAGGUCUUGACAUCCUCUGCUAACCCUAGAGAUAGGGCGUUCCCCUUCGGGGGACAGAGUGACAGGUGGUGCAUGGUUGUCGUCAGCUCGUGUCGUGAGAUGUUGGGUUAAGUCCCGCAACGAGCGCAACCCUUGACCUUAGUUGCCAGCAUUCAGUUGGGCACUCUAAGGUGACUGCCGGUGACAAACCGGAGGAAGGUGGGGAUGACGUCAAAUCAUCAUGCCCCUUAUGACCUGGGCUACACACGUGCUACAAUGGAUGGUACAAAGGGCUGCGAGACCGCGAGGUUAAGCCAAUCCCAUAAAAACCAUUCUCAGUUCGGAUUGCAGGCUGCUAACCG